rnacentral:rRNA from 1 species
UACGGGGGGAGCAAGCGUUGUUCGGAUUUACUGGGCGUAAAGGGCGCGUAGGCGGCCAGCACAAGUCAGUUGUGAAAUCUCCGAGCUUAACUCGGAAAGGUCAACUGAUACUGUGCGGCUAGAGUGCAGAAGGGGCAACUGGAAUUCUUGGUGUAGCGGUGAAAUGCGUAGAUAUCAGGAGGAACACCGGUGGCGAAGGCGGCUCUCUGGGCCUUACCUGACGCUGAGGAGCGAAAGCGUGGGUAGCGAACAGG